rnacentral:tRNA from 1 species
CGACGUAGCUCAAUUGGCAGAGCAGCUGAUUUGUAAUCAGCAGGUUGCGGGUUCAAGUCCCAUCGUCGG